GUACUGCAGGGGGGGGGGGGUCGCAAACGUUUUUGUUGAUUAGACAUUUUUUUUAUAUUCCCCCCCCUAAUUGUUUCCACAAAUCGAAAUGUCUUUAACUACACAUUAACAUGAAUCCAACACAUUAGCCGCGUUUACAUGGACACUUUUGAUCCGAUGGAGAGAGCUUUUCUCUGCCUGCUCCUUCAAUUAAGAAGAAGGAUGGUUUAAUAUGAAACACAAUUGUAUACAAUAUAUAAGUAGGGGGUCCCCGCUCCAUCUCUCCGUCAGUUUGGGGGUCCUUGGCCGGGAAAACGUUGAAGACCCCUGGCCUAGAGCAUGGUUUCAGACCUUCACAGAUUCAGUUGCAUGUUCAGGCUGUGUGUUUUUAUUAUUAUUGUUUCUUGUUUCUGUUUCAAAAUGCUCUCUUUCUCCAGAUCUGCUGUUGCAGAUGAUAAUGUUUUGUUUCAUGUCUGCUGUUGCAGAUUGUCAUGUUUUGUUUUAUAUCUGCUGUUGCAGAUUCUCUGUUCUCAUAUUUUGUUCCUUAAUCCACUGAUGUUAAUGUGGUAAACUGUGUUCUCACAAUUUACCUUGUGUAAAGCAAGGUGUGUGUAUAUAUAUAUAUAUUCCCUGAAGUAUGUUCUCCAUGUCUAGAUUGUGCUGAGUGCUGCCACACCUGUGGAAUUGAAUGGAUUCUCCUGUUCAUGUGCUGCUGGAGAGGCGUUAUGCAACCACGUGGUUGCACUCCUCUUCCAGACACAUCACUACCACUUCACAGGGGAGAAAAGCGUGCCAACACCUCUGUCGUGCAUCAGUGUUCUGCAGUCGUGGCACCGACCAAGGACACAGGGGAUUCGCCCGGAACCCACUGACCAACUUGUGGUCAGAAAACCCAAGGCAGUUGGACGCACUAGCGUUAAAUCAACGCUGUAUCGAGCCUACCCAGGACCCCUUCCUGACCCUGCGGUGCUGUCUGUCGGAGAUGACCUGCGAGACCUUCUACCUCAACCGGGAAUUUGCAAGAUUGUAUGUGACCUGGCCGACCUUACUUUAGUGGACUCUAAGUUUGGACCAGUCCCUCACGGUUCUGUUCUUUCAUAACAGUGCCCCCCAGAAAUAUCCCAAGAAAUUAUUAAGCACCCAGAAGCCCCCUCAUUCCCACAACUCCCCUUGUUAGGCUAUACAUUUGAACGACCCCUACAAUUUGUUUCCACAUACCUCCAGUUCCAUCACCUUCAGACUUUAGAAGUCACCUCUGAAUUGGCCACUUUAAUUGAAGAGCACACAAGGGGGCAGUCAGAGAAUCCUAUGGGGAAGGAAGUCCUGCUGCCCCGUAUAACUUCCAGUAGGUUUGGUGAAGUGGUUACUCUGAGAGGGGAGUCCUUUGCUCAGGCUCUCGCACUGAGGAUCAUAAAGGGGGGAAGGCAAACACCUGACAUGAAAAGGGGUCUCGACCUCGAGCCAGCAGUGUUGCAACAGUAUAGUGACAUGUGUAAUGUUAAUGUCUAUCCUUCUGGAUUUGUUGUCCAUCCUGAGGCGUUUUACGUCGGGGCUAGCCCUGAUGCCACGGUGUAUGAUCCCACUGCAACCCCCCCCCCUUUGGCUUAGCUAAAGUCAAAUGUCCAAAUGUGGACAGUAUAACAGAGGUCAAGCAUGUGAAGUUUGUGAACGGUAAGGCCAAACUUAAAAACACCCAAAUACUACAGGCAAGUGCAAGGCCAGAUGGCCAUCACUGGUUUGUCGUGGUGCGAUUUCAUUAAGUCAACAAAAAAUGACCCGACAGUGGAAAGAAUUUGGCAUGAUGAAUCAUUCAUUAAUGAGAUGAAAGUUAAACUAGAUCUGAUUUAUUUUAACACAUACAUUGACACAUACCUCCUGAAUGCCAAGUAAAUAUGGCCGAGGGACACACACACCCCAUUUCAUUUUCAUUUCUUUCUGUUAAAUGUAUAUAUGUACAUUUUAAUUUUAAUCAAAGAAUUGGAAACGAACAUUCCUGAACAUUUGUUUAAGGUAACACACAGAACAUCUUUCUGUUAAAUGUAAAUAUCU